AUUGAACGCUGGCGGCAGGCCUAACACAUGCAAGUCGAGCGGAGUGGCGGACGGGUGCGUAAUGCUUAGGUAUCUGCCUGGUAGUGGUGGAGAACGUCCGGUAAUGGGCGCUAAUACUGCAUACUAUCAGAUUAGCCUAGGUCGGAUUAGCUGGUUGGUGGGGUAAAGGCCUACCAGGGCGACGAUCCGCAACUGGUCUGAGAGGAUGAUCAGUCACACUGGAACUGAGACACGGUCCAGACUCCUACGGGAGGCAGCAGUGGGGAAUAUUGGACAAUGGGCGAAAGCCUGAUGCAGCCAUGCCGCGUGUAUGAAGAAGGUCUUCGGAUUGUAAAGCACUUUAAGUUGGGAGGCGUUACCAACAGAAUAAGCACCGGCUAACUUCGUGCCAGCAGCCGCGGUAAUUC
rnacentral:rRNA from 1 species